rnacentral:rRNA from 1 species
GAUGAACGCUGGCGGCGUGCCUAAUACAUGCAAGUCGAGCGAAUGGAUUAAGAGCUUGCUCUUAUGAAGUUAGCGGCGGACGGGUGAGUAACACGUGGGUAACCUGCCCAUAAGACUGGGAUAACUCCGGGAAACCGGGGCUAAUACCGGAUAACAUUUUGAACCGCGUGGUUCGAAAUUGAAAGGCGGCUUCGGCUGUCACUUAUGGAUGGACCCGCGUCGCAUUAGCUAGCUGGUGAGGUAACGGCUCACCAAGGCAACGAUGCGUAGCCGGACUGAGAGGGUGGUCGAUCACACUGAGACUGGGACACGGCCCAGACUCUUAGGUGAGGCAGCGUUAGGGAGUCUUCCGCAAUGGUCGAAGGUCUGACGUCGCAACGCCGCGUGGGUGAUGAAGGCUUUCGGGUCGGAAAACUCUGUUGUUAGGGAAGAACAAGUGCUAGUUGAAUAAGCUGGCACCUUGACGGUACCUAACCAGAAAGCCACGGCUAACUGCGUGCCAGCCGCUGCAGUAA